AACAACCUCAUUGACCGGAAGGAAUCCCUUCCGGUCGAUGAGAUUGUCAUACCUCAUCGAUCGGAAGGGAUUCUUUCGAUCGAUGAGGAUGUU
rnacentral:miRNA from 1 species